rnacentral:rRNA from 1 species
AUUGACCGCUGUCGCCAGCCCUAACACAUGCAAGUCGAGCGGUAACAGAGAGAAGCUUGCUUCUUUGCUGUCGAGCGGCGGACGCGUGAGUAACGCGUAGGAAUCUGCCUAUUAGUGGGGGAUAAGCCAGAGAAAUUUGGUCUAAUACCGCAUACUCCCUACGGGGGAAAGGAGGGGCUCUUCGGACCUUUCGCUAUUAGAUGAGCCUGCGUGAGAUUAGCUAGUUGGUGAGGUAAGAGCUCACCAAGGCGACGAUCUUUAGCUGGUCUGAGAGGAUGAUCAGCCACACUGGGACUGAGACACGGCCCAGACUCCUACGGGAGGCAGCAGUGGGGAAUAUUGGACAAUGGGGGCAACCCUGAUCCAGCCAUGCCGCGUGUGUGAAGAAGGCCUUCGGGUUGUAAAGCACUUUCAGAUGUGAGGAAAGGUGAGUAGUUAAUACCUGCUUAUUGUGACGUUAGCAUCAGAAGAAGGACCGGCUAACUCCGUGCCAGCAGCCGCGGUAAUACGGAGGGUCCGAGCGUUAAUCGGAAUUACUGGGCGUAAAGCGCGCGUAGGUGGUUCAGUCAGUCAGAUGUGAAAGCCCAGGGCUCAACCUUGGAACUGCACCUGAUACUGCAAGACUAGAGUACAGUAGAGGGGAGUGGAAUUUCCGGUGUAGCGGUGAAAUGCGUAGAGAUCGGAAGGAACACCAGUGGCGAAGGCAGAC